rnacentral:sRNA from 1 species
AUGGCUGUCGUCAGCUCGUGUCGUGAGAUGUUGGGUUAAGUCCCGCAACGAGCGCAACCCUUGUCCUAUGUUGCCAGCGGGUAAUGCCGGGGACUCGUAGGAGACUGCCGGGGUCAACUCGGAGGAAGGUGGGGACGACGUCAAGUCAUCAUGCCCCUUACGUCCAGGGCUGCACACAUGCUACAAUGGCCGGUACAGAGGGCUGCUAUCCCGCGAGGGUGAGCGAAUCCCAAAAAGCCGGUCUCAGUUCGGAUUGGAGUCUGCAACUCGACUCCAUGAAGUCGGAGUCGCUAGUAAUCCCGGAUCAGCAACGCCGGGGUGAAUACGUUCCCGGGCCUUGUACACACCGCCCGUCACACCACGAAAGUCGGUAACACCCGAAGCCAGUGGCCCAACCGCAAGGAGGGAGCUGUCGAAGGUGGGAUCGGUGAUUGGGGUGAAGUCGUAACAAGGUAGCCGUACCGGAAGGUGCGGCUGGAUCACCUCCUUUCUAAGGAGAAAUCUCCAGGCCAUGGUUGCAUCAGCAGCCGGAAGUUUGGGAUCUCCCUAGUCGAUGCACUAGCUACUCGGUGAACUACCUCGUGUCGUCUUCGAAGGUUUCGACCUCGGACGGCUCGGGCGAAAGCACCGGACAACCUCUGUUCCGUUUUCUGGGAGCGCCUCGUGCGCUCCCAGUGGAGUGCUCAACGUGCUCCGGCCCUCCGGUCGGAGCACCGUUUGGCAUGCCCCUUGAGAAUUCCAUAGCGAGCACGAGCAUCUUUUGUAUUCCAAGCUACAAAGAGCCAACGGUGGAUGCCUUGGCGCCUAAAGCCGAUGAAGGACGUGGCAAGCUGCGAUAAGCCUCGGGUAGGUGCACACAACCGUCAAUCCGAGGAUGUCCGAAUGGGGAAACCCGG